CUCAGGUCAGCUCCAGAAAAACACAGUCUGCAUUCUUUAGGAUGCUUCAGGUCUAGCCAGCAUUUUGGACCUCAAGACAGAAUGAAUUAAAAAUCCAAUGAUGGCUGAAUAGGGAAAGGACAUGCUGAUUCUGACUGAGAGAACAUACCAGAAGAAAAGCGGAGGAAAUAUACUCCCAGAGGGAGAGGGAGAGAGAAAUUUGCAGUGGAAACUCUACAGAAAGAAGAGGAACGCCAUGGAGCAGCAUGGGAAGCGCAGAAGAGCAGCAGCAAGUGGAGAUACCCCACACAAUUCCUGCAGCUAGGGGAUGGAGAAGACAGCAGGUUCUGAGCAAGGUGAGGGCAGACUGUGGCAGCCUGUGCCACUGGGUACAUUGCAUGAGGGAGAACUCUGCAGACCACACUGACUUUGAGUCCAGCCUGGUGCUCUAGAGGGGACAGGGUAUCUGCUAAUUCAAAGAAGGAAAAUCACAUUUCCUUCUUCCAUCUCCCUACAAGGGCACCUGGCAACCAGCAGGGAGAAGGUGCCAUCUUGAUACCAGAAGAGGUUGCAAAGGCACUUUUGCACAAGACCAUGAAUUUUACCAGAGGGAAAAAUUUGCAUUUUCCACUGAUUUUGAGCCUGGCUAGGAGGGUUGAAAGGAGCUUGGAAUUCACUUAAGACUGAGGUGUCCCUGUCAUCUCAACCUAUCACAGGCUCCAGUGCUCAAACUGCCAAGGCAGAGAACCCACAGGCAUCUGGCUCUGGAAAUAACUCUGUUAUCUGCGUGGACGGGGCAUGCUUGUGGAGUGGAAAGGGGAUCCUCUGCACCCUGUGAGUGUGGGGGCCUUGUGCAUUGUGACUGUGGGAAUCCUGUGACUGCAUGAUAGAGUGUGGCAUGUAGUUGAGUCUCUGGGCAAUCACUGUCUGGUUACAGAGACUUAGAGCUACCUGCCUUCCUGGGAUGGGCCAUUGCUGAGAGUUCUGUGCUCACACAGAAGACUUCAUGCAGAUCCUUUGCCAGAAUGGGUGAGGGUUGUACCCACUGUGGGCUACCUCUGGGCACUGAUCACCUUGGAAGAGAGAAGGUGAGGGUGUGAUUAUGCCAAUAGGCAUGGUCAUAUCCUCCCCUCUAUUGACAACAGAGAUCUACCAUGCCCAACAUGAAUGUCACCCUGGAUUCUUGUUCCAUACUUGAGCAUUGACCAGAGCACCCCAGCCCCACCCAGCAUAGGCCUCUGGGUAUUCACUGAAGAAACAGGCUUUCCACUAAGCCACAGAAGCAUAGUAUAAAGAUAAAAUCCAUCAGUGGAGAAAACCAACAAGUGUUUCCACAAAUACCUGAAAAUAAAUGUGGAAAUACAGGACACAACAAUAAGGAAGGCAACAUGGCUUCCCCAAAAGACCACAACAAUGCUUCACUAUUAUAAUCUGAAGACAAAGAGAUUGAUGAAAUAUCUGAAAAGGCAUUUAAAAGAAUGAUUAUAGGAUUACUCAGAAGUAAUGAAAUCUAUACAUGACAUGGAGAAAAAAUUCUCCCAUGAGCUAGAGAUUAUGAAAUGAAAUCAAACUGAAAUAUUAGAAAUGAAGAAUUCAAUAAGUCAAAUAAUAAAUAUAGUGGAAGGCCUUAACAACAGACUUGGUGAAGCAGAAGAAAGAAUAUCCAAGCUAGAAGACAAAUCUUUGGAAAUAUCUAUUAAGGAGAAAGAAGAAAGGAGAAGGAGAAAGUGGAGAAGGAGAAGGAGGAGAAGGAGGAGGAAGAGGAGGAGGGAAAGAGGAAGAGGAGGGGGAGGAAGAGGAAUAGGAGGGAGAGGAGGAGGAGGAAGAUGAGGAGGAAGAGAUGGAAGAGGAGAAGGAGAAGGAGAACAAGGAGGAGGAGGAGGAAGAGGAGGAGGGAAGGAGGAAGAGAAGGAGGGAAACACAAGGGACCUUGAAUAGCUAAAGCAAUCUUAAACAACAAAAACAAAGCCUUAGGAACUGCAAUACCAGAAUACCAGAUUUAAAGACAUACUACAGGGCAGUUGUAUUCAAAGUAGCCUGGUACUGCCACAAAAAUAGACUUGUAGAACAGUGGAGCUUAAGAGCAUUUCCAGAAGUGAAUCCAGGCAUCUACAAUCAGCUAAUCCUUGACAAAGGAGCUAAAAUCAAUCCCUGGAGAAAGGACAGUCUUUUCAACAAAUUGUGCAGGGAAAAUCACAUCUCUACAUGCAGAAGUAUGAAACAAGACUCCUACCUUACACUUUAUACAACAGCCAACUCAAAGUGCAUCAAGGAUCUAAACCUAUGACUUGAUAUCAUAAAAUUACUACAGAAGGACAUUUGGGAACGUCUAUAAGAUAUUGGCAUAGGAAAAGACCUCCUGGAAAAGAAACCAGCAGCACAGGCAAUCAAAGCAAAACAGACAAAGGGGGUUAUACCAAGAUGAGAAGCUUUCAUACUGCAAAGGAAACAAGUAAAUGAAGAGAUAAACCAACAGAAUGGGAGAAAAUAUUUGCAAACUAUGUAACUGAUAAACGAUUGACAUUCUAGGAUCUAUAAAGAGCUCAAGAAAUUCAACAACAACAAAACAAACCAUUCAGUUAGAAAAUAGAUAUUUUUCAAAAGAGGAAAUUCAAAUGUCCAACAGACAUAUGAAAAAAUUCUCAGGAUCACUAGCCAUCAUGGAAAUAUAUACAAAAGCACAAUGACAUUCCACUUCACUCCAGUUAGAAUGGCUCUCUUACAGAAAUCAGCAAACAAUAUAUGCUGGCAAGGAUGUUGGGAAAAAUGUCCUAUAAUCUAUCAUUUGCGGGGAUGCAAAUUACUAUAGCCAUUGUAGAAGAUAGAAUGAAGAUUUCUCAGAUAGCUGAAAAUAUAUCUACCAUGUGAUCCAACCAUCCCACUCCUGUGAAUUUACCCAAACAAAAUGAAAUCAGUGUAUGAGUUAUCUUUAUCCCCAUGUUCAUUGCAGCUCAAUUCACAAUAGCUAAGAUAUGGAAUCAACUCAGAUGCCCAUCAACUGAUGACUGGAUAAAGAAAUUAUGGUACAUACACACUGUGGAAUACUACUCAGUAGUAAAAAAGAAUAAAAUCCUGUCUUUCACAACAAAAUAGAUGAAACUGGCAAUCAUUACAUUUUGUGGAAUAAGCCAGUCACCAAAAGACAAAUACCACAUGUUUUCCCUGAUCUUUCAUAACAAAGAGUACAAAAAAUGUAAUGUAUAAUUAUUUGCAUUGCAAUCUGUGUAAAAGUAUUCUGUGCAUAAACUGUUGAAAGUAAAUGGCUUAAAGUCUAAAUGAACUUACUUAUUAUUUUAUAACAACACAGGCAAUAUUGGAUGUUACAUUAUCAUUGUUUCUACUUCAUUGGAAGAAAUUAUGGAUGACUAAUUGACAAAAAAAACUGUAUAUGAGUGAAAUGGUCACUUUUUCAUUCAAUUAUAGUUCACAACCGUUUAUAUUUCCACCAAACUAGGGUCUUUUUGCAUUUUACUCAUUUACUCUUAUUUGGUGAAGUAUUAAAGCUUGUUACUGUAAUGUAAAUUUAAAAUGUUAACUAAAAAACUAAAAAAAUAAAGACAGAAAGAUUGAAGGAAGGAGAGAAAAGGAAGGAAGAAGGAAAGGAAGAAGUAGGGAAAUAGCAUUAUGUUCUUAGACUUGUAUCUACAAAUCAUAUUGAAUCUAUUAAAAAUUAAUUACAAUUAAAAUAAAAAAUUUAAAAGGCAUUUUAUGACCUGAGAUAUUGCUCAUGAAAUAAUGUUACCUAAAAAAAAACUGAUUAUAAGACAAAUGUUUCAUGUUAUAAGUUCCAAGAUGCAUAUUUUUCAUCUGCUAACAUUUCUAAAGUCAGAAAGUGUCUUGAAGUCCUUGGUAUCUUAUCAUAGGCCAGGCAGCAACAAAGGCAUAGUUACUUUUACUAGCAUAUAAUGUAAGCUUUCUGGUGAAAUGGUUGAACAACUGCCCUUCUUUACUGAUUCAGUUUAUAAAUCAUUUAAAGACAACUUGAAGAAGACAUACAUGCCCUGGUUAUUUCCUGAAAAUCAUAUAUAAAGUCCUUUUAAUAGCAAAAACUGUGGUAGUACCAAAACCCAUUUAAGGUUAAAGAUGGAAUGCUUUCCCAACUAAAACUGGAUGCAAGGUAAAGCUGCUUAGUCCCUUGACUCGUAUUUAAAAUAGUAACAGACAUGCUUACCAGUGUAACAGGCAAGAAAAAGAAAAUUCCUAAAAAUUGGAACUAAAGAAAUAAAAUGUACUUGUUUGCAGAAGACAUUAUCUACAGAAAAUAACCAAUCCCUAGAACCAUCAAGUGGAUAUAACAGAAAGAGAAAGUGCAAAGACAGUGUCUUAUUUCUAUACACUAGCAAUGAAUAAUGGGAAUUUAGAAUUGUAAAUGUAACAUCAUUUGCAAUAGCUCUUCUCAAAAAAUUUAGGUUAGAAAAUCUAACAAAAUGUUCCUAGAACAUCUACAUUCUGAGAAAUGCAACACUGAUGGAGGAAAACAAAGACUCAAAUAAUUAGAAGACCUAUGUGCUCAUGGAUUAGAAGACCCAGUGUAACUAAGUUGUGAAUUCUCUUCAGAUUUCUCAAUAGCUUUCUAACUGUCCCAAGUGAAGUUGCUGAUAAACAUUUGUAAACAUGAAAUAGUUUAUUCUAGAUUUGUGUGGGAAGCACAAGAAUUAGAAUAGUAAUGACAAUUAUGAGAAAAAAUAAACUUGGAAUAUUCAUGCCAACCAAUUAUAAGAUUUAUUCUAAUACUACAAUACUCUGAGUAAAAAUAUACAUUUUUCAAUCAAUGGAAUAGAGAGUCUAAUACAGCCAAAUAUUAUCAAUCAAUUUUCGGCCAAAUUAAAAGCAAAAAUUUAAUGGAGAAGCAAUAGUCUUCAUAAAAAUCAUUUCACUGGGCCAGCGCCAUGGCUCAAUAGGCUAAUCCUCUGCCUGCAGCGCCAGCACACCGGGUUCUAGUCCCGGUCGGGGCGCCGGAUUCUGUCCAGGUUGCCCCUCUUCCAGGCCAGCUCUCUGCUGUGGCCCGGGAGUGCAGUGGAGGAUGGCCCAAGUCCUUGGGCCCUGCACCUGCAUGGGAGACCAGCAGAGGCACCUGGCUCCUGGCUUCAGAUCAGCGUGAUGCACUGGCCGCAGCACGCCAGCCGCGGUGGCCAUUGGAGGGUGAACCAAUGGCAAAAGGAAGACCUUUCUCUCUGUCUCGCUCUCUCUCUCACUGUCCACUCUGCUUGUCAAAAAGAAAAAAAAAAGAAAAAAAUAUUUCACAUAAAUUAACACCCAUAUGCCAAAAAUAAACCUCAAAAUAACGUUUAGACAAGAAUUAAGACAAAAUGGGUAAAUAUAAAAUGAAAACCUAUCAAAAUUUUAGAUGAAAAAUUAAUUGAAAGUCUUGGGUGACUGGGAUUGAGCAAAGAUUUUUAAGCCAAAAUAAAAAGUGCACAGUCAAUAAAAUAAACAAUUGAACAAGUUGGACUUCAUCCAAAUUAAAUUUAGUCUAACCUACAAGUUAAGACUCCUGUUCCCUAGAGUACCCAGAUUUUAUUCCCAACUCCAGCUCCUAACUCCAGCUUUCUACCAGUAAAGAUACUGGGAGGCACUGGUGAUGAUGCGAGUAUUUGGGUUCCUGCCUCCCUUGUGGAAGACUGGUUGUGUUCCUAGUUCCUGGCUCUGUUCUCAGCCCUGUCCCAAAAAGUGUGGGCAUCUGGAGGGGGAGACAGCAGACAGAAGUAUGUUUAUUCUCUCUCUCUCUCUCCCUCAAAUAUAUAAAUAAAUUUAAUUUAACAAAUUAAAACUUCUGUUUUACUAAGACUCCUAAAUAAUGAAAAGGGAAGCUACAGAUUCAUGGGAAAUACUUGAAAAUCACAUAUGCAAUCAGUGAAUACAUCAAAUAUAUAGAGGUCUCAACUCUCAACAUAUAAAAAAAAUCCAAUUAAAGAUUGGGCAAAGGACACUUUGCCUUUUUGUACUUAUCCUUCACAAAAAAGUUAUGUUGAUAGUAAAUAAACACAUGAAAAACUGCUCCUCAUUAGUUAUUACAGAGAUCGUAAUUAAAACGUAAAUGAGAGAUACAGCUGCAAGAAUGUCUGAAAUAAUAUGAGCUGGCUGGUCUGGGAACAACUAGAGCUCUUACUAGGUUGCUAUUGGGAUUGCACAAGUAGGAUACCUUGGCAGUGUUUUUAAAAUUAAUACUUGUUUGCCAUGUGAACUGGCAGUCUCAUGCUAGGGCAUUGACCCUGAAGAAUGGAAAACUUUAGGCUCACACUAAAACCUACACAUAAAUGUUUACAGUAGCAGUCUGUACAAUCAAACUAAAUGUUCUUCAGGAUAAAAAGCUAAACAAACUAUAGGCUACUCAUACAACAGAAUAUUACUUUUCAAUACAAAGGAACAGAUUACUAAUGUACAUGCCAUGUGGAUGAAUUUCAAAGACAUAACGAUGUGUGAAAGACUUCAUUCUCAAAAAUUACAUAUGUAGUGUAUCAUUUCUAUGGCAUUCUAUAAAAGGCAGAACUAUACCAACUUAUAGCAACUCAGCUGUGGCCUGAGGUAAGGUCUGAGAGAGGGUAUCAUUGAAAGGGAGCAGACAAGGGGAUUUUUGAGAGUAAUUAACUAUUCAGUGUCCAGAUUGUGAUAGUGGCCAAGUAGAUAUCUAAAGAGUUUAGAACUAUAGGACUAUAUACUUUUAUUUUAAUUCUAAUUUGUACUGUUAAAGAAACAAAACCAACCAAGCUAUAUCUUUAUGGAAAUCUAUUCAUGUGGCACAAAUAAAAACAGAUUGACAUAUUUAAAAAGGUACUGUGCCAUCUAUUUUAUUGAUGGUGCAUAAAGUAUUAGUAUCUGUUGCAAUCCAAACAUCUUCAAGUUAAUGAAGCAUGGUCUACAGACAUCAUUGUUUAUAUGCCCAUACAGAUUACAAAUAGCAUUCAAUGUAAUACUUUAUCCAUUUUACUAUUUUUUUGUUCUAGUACUGGUGGUUGAACUCUGUAAUUAACACACAAUUAUUCUUAGGUGUUUAAAUUUUAACUGAAAAGUGAUCCCUGUUAAAUAUAAGAGUGGGAAAAAGAGAGGGAGGAGAUGUAUAAUUCGGGACAUGCUCAAUCGGACUUGCCCCAAAUGGUGGAGUUAGAAACGUGCCAGGGGAUUCCAAUACAAUCCCAUCAAGGUGGCAUGUACCGAUGCAAUCUCACUAGUCCAAGUGAUCAUCUUCAGUUCACAAUUGAUCACACUGAUAGGUCUAAGAGUCAAAGGAAUCACACAAACAAAACUAGUGUCUGCUAAUAAUAACUGAUAGAAUCAAAAAGGGAGAGAAUGAUCCAACAUGGGAAGCAGGAUACACAGCAGACCCAUAGAAUAGCAGAUGUCCUAAAUAGCACUCUGGCCUCAGAAUCAGCCCUUAAGGCAUUCGGAUCUGGAUGAAGAGCCCAUGAGAGUAUUUUAGGCAUGGAAAGCCAAGACACUCUGGAAAAAAAAAAAAAAAGAAGAAGACCUAAAUGAAAGAUCUCUGUGAGUGAGAUCCCAGUGGAAAGAACGGGGCCAUCAAGAAGGAGGUACCUUUCUCUGAAGGGAGGAGAGAACUUCCACUUUGACUAUGACCCUGUCGGAAUAAGAUCGAAGUUGGUGAACCCUAAAGGCUUCCAUAGCCUUGGCAACUCAUGACUAGAGCCUAGGGAGAUUACUGACGCCAUAAACAAGAGUGUCAAAUUGUUAAAUCAACAAUAGGAGUCACUGUGUACUUUCGUCUCAUGUGGGAUCUGUCCUUAAUGUAUUGUCCAAUGUGAAGUAAUGCUAUAACUAGUACUGAAACAGUAUUUUUACACUUUGUGUGUCUGUGUGGGUGCAAACUGAUGAAAUCCUUACUAAGUAUAUACUGAAUCGAUCUUCUGUAUAUAAAGAUAAUUGAAAAUGAAAAAAAAAACACCUUGGUUUUAAAUUGGAAAUUGCAUAGAAAAUCAAUUUUUUAAAAAUAUCAUGUAGGAUCUUUGUCCUUAAUGUGCUAUACAUUGUGAUUUAAUGCUAUAAGUAGUACUCCAACAGUAUUUUUCACUUUGUGUUGCUAUGUGGGGGCAAACUGUUGAAAACUUUACUUAAUAUAUACUAAAUUGAUGUUCUGUAUAUAAAGAGAAUUGAAAAUGAAUCUUGAUGUGAAUGGAA